rnacentral:rRNA from 1 species
CAGCUAGUUGGCGAGGUAACGGCUCACCAAGGCAACGACGGGUAGCUGGUCUGAGAGGAUGGCCAGCCACAUUGGGACUGAGAUACGGCCCAGACUCCUACGGGAGGCAGCAGUGGGGAAUCUUGCGCAAUGGCCUAACGGCUGACGCAGCGACGCCGCGUGUGGGAUGAAGCUCUUCGGAGUGUAAACCACUGUUGCCCGGGACGAACAGCUCGAUUAAUCGAGCCUGACGGUACCGGGUGAGGAAGCACCGGCUAACUCCGUGCCAGCAGCCGCGGUAAUACGGGGGGUGCGAGCGUUGUCCCGAAUCACUGGGCGUAAAGGGCGCGUAUGUGGUCUGAUAAGGGUGUGGUGAAAGUCCGGGGCUCAUU